GGACGUGGGGGCAACCUGGCUGUGCCAUCUCUCACCCUACUGAUCACCAAGGCUGAUUCAGUCAGUUGACCUGCCUGGGUAGGCAGGUGUCCCCUUCCUCCAUCACCACUCCAUGUGUAUCCCUCCCAAAGCUGUGCACCCAAAGAAGACAACCUUCCCUGAUGGAAGAGGACCAUUCUCCGUCAAGGGUAUAGGAGUAGCCACACUCACUAGAACCUUCAAACAAGUUUUCAAGGUCCAUUUGCAGGAAAACAUAAGGUAGUCAAGCUUCCAAAACUCCAGACACAGCCAAAUGAAGCACUCCAUGUGGCAGUCUGCCUUUCUUU
rnacentral:snRNA from 1 species